rnacentral:piRNA from 1 species
UCUCCUGGAUUUACCACCUUUGCUGUGUGU